rnacentral:rRNA from 1 species
AAUCUUCCGCAAUGGACGAAAGUCUGACGGAGCGAUGCCGCGUGAGUGAGGAAGGGUUUCGGAUCGUAAAACUCAGAUGUUCGGGAAGAAAAAGUAUGGGAGUAAUAUGUCGGUACUUUUAUGGUACUUAACAAGAAAGCCCCGGCUAAAUAAGUGCCAGCAGCCGCUGUAAUACGUAGGGGGCAAGCGUUGUCCGGAGUUAUUGGGCGGAAAGGGCACGCAGGCGGUUAUUUAAGUCUGAUGUGAAAUCUUGUGGCUUCACCACAAGCGGUCAUUGGAAACAGGAUAACUUGAGUACAGAAGAGGAGGGUGGAAUUCCACGUGUAGCGGUGAAAUGCGUAGAGAUGUGGGGGAAAACCAGUGGCGAAGGCGGCUCUCUGGUCUGUAACUGGCGCUGAUGUGCGAAAGCGUGGGUAGCGAACA